CAAGCAUGCUAAAUUUGAUCAGGCAUGUAAAAGGCCAGCCCGGGGUCCUCAGCUACACUUUUGCAUGGAGGAGUAAACAAACGGUGAAGGUCAGAAUGUUCCAGAAAAUGCUCAAUAAGUUCGUCGGAGCCAAGAACAUUGGGAUUUUAAGAACGUGGGUACCAAACAUGGUCGCCUGGGGGUCAUUGGGCGGCGUGGCGCUUGUCCACUUCACAGACUGGCGAUUAUUCCUUGACUAUGUGCCAUACAUUAAGGGGAAGUUCAACAAGGACGAGUGAAGUCUUUUUUCCCCCAAUCAAUUGCUCGCGGGGGAGAUGGAGUCCAUCCCAGCUGUAUUUGGGCAGAAGACAAGGACCAGAACACUUUGGGACGAGCACACGGGUGGACAGCCUCGACAGGGGCCAGUUAUACUUCGAGGAUGCAUCAUGUAUAAAUGUUUUGAUCCAUGCGUAUUUAAUGUCAAUAAAUCUUGACGUGUA